AGGAAUUUUUCUGCUUUAGGAUUCUAUUUGCUUUGAUUACGAUAGUUGGUAGUGGUAACGGCCUACCAAGUCUACGAUCAAAAGCCAAGUUUGAUAGAACAUAUGGCCACAUUGGGAGUGAAAAUACCCCAAGUAAUAUAAAAUUACCUGCAGUCAAGAAUAUUAGUCAAUGCUCGCAAGAGUGAACUAGCUAACUGAAAUCUUAAAUUUUCAUUUAAGAUAAGGUAAGAGAAAAUAAUGAUAUUAUCUUACUAUUAGUGUCGUCUAAAUUUGGUGCCAGAAGACUCGGUAAGACCUUAGACGCAAACGUUAAUCGUCAUAAUCAGGCGUAAAGGGUGUGUAGGCGGCUUUAAAAUAUAUAAUUCUAUUAUUAUAACAAUAAUAAAUUCUUAUAGCUAAAUAAAUUAUAUUAUAAUUAAAGCUAGAAUCUAAAAGAGGGUAAGCUAAACAACAUAAUUAACUGGGACUGACAACUUAUAAUAAUGUGGAGUACUAAAGGUUAAAGCUAUUUAUCUACUUAAGAUUGACGCUCAGAAACGAAGGGGAGAAUAAGAAACUUAGAUUAGAGACCUAAUUAUCUCUCUCAGUCAACGAUGAAUGGUAGUUAUUAAAAAUAAAAAUAUAAUAAACAUAAUAUAUAAUUAUAUUUUAUUAUAUAGAUAUUAGUGACGAGGUUAACACGAUGACCAUUCCGCCUUGUUAGUAAGACUGCAAAGUUGAAAACAAAAAAAUUAGUCGGUCUUGAAGCAAACGAAGUGAAGCAUGUUAUUUAAUACGAUAAUCCGCGUAAAAUCUUACCAGUUCUUGUAUAUUCUUAUUAAUGUUUAUUUAAAUUGAAUAAGUUAUUGAAAAGCAAUUUACCAUCUCUUUUUAAAUUAAGUAAAUUAUUGUAAGAAUACAGGUGUUGCAUGGCUGUCGUCAGUCCGUGUCGUGAGAAGUUUGGUUAAAUCCGUAAACGGACGAAAUCCCUAGUAUUAAUUUAUACAUAAUACAUAAUAGUGUUGAUAAGAUGCUAGUUGGGGCUAAGACAAGUCAUUAUGGCCCUCAUGAACUGGGCUAUAGACGUGCCACAAAAACUUUUACAAAGUGAUGCAAUUCUGUCCCUAAAUUAUAUUAGAAAUUAAAUUUUCUGAAUAAAAACAAGGAGUAAGGAGGAGCUAAUCAUUAAAGAAAGUUAACUAUUAAAUUAGUUGAAUUGUCAUCUGAAACUCGGUGACAUGAAAAAGGAAUUUCGAGUAAUCGUUGAUCAUUACGCAACGGUGAAUUAAGCAUUCAGGAUGAACUAACCGUCUGUCGCUGGGAAGGAG
rnacentral:rRNA from 1 species